UCGACCUGAGUUCAGGCA
rnacentral:rRNA from 1 species